AUACCAACUCUUUCAUGCCAUGAGAAGCCUCCUUAAAAAAUUUGUGUGAUUAACAUAAACCAGUAUGUCAUCCUAUGAAUAAUAGUAAACGUUUGUCUUAAACUAUCAUAUUAUAGGAAAAAAACCUGAUAUAUUAAAUUAGCCUGUGAGUUUAUAUUAAAGAUACACUUACCUUCUCCAACAAGAGUUGUAACAAUUUUUUUCUUAUUGCAAACAAUGCUAUGGGGAUACUUAUAGUAGCAUUUCUGCUCAACAUAAUAUGUAAGUAUGCACAAACUGUUAACAGUUAUUACUUCAGAGGAGUGAAAAAUAGGGUGAAAAUGAGAAUAACUUUCAUUUUCAGUAUACUUAAGUACAUUUUCAAUUUUCAAUUAUAUGCAGUGAUUUUGUCCUUUAAAAAACAGGAUGGACUUUUUUAAAUAUAAGGAAGACAUUUUCUGUGAAACAAUAAACUACUCAGUAUAUACUUAAUGUGCAUGAAGUAUGAGGUAGGAAUACAUCCAUUGGCAUUCUUGCAUUUGCAUACCACUUCCCCAAAUAUGAACUCACUUCUCUGACUUUGCUAGGGCUGAGGAAUCAUCAUUACAAUAUCUGUAAAACUGGAUUUAUUAAGUGCAUCCAUAUUGUUUAUGAGUCAUAGAAAAUAUGUUCAUUUUCCUAUCCAUGUUAAAGGCUGCUUGGAGGAUUGACGGAGCAUUGCUUAGAAAAUGUUCUGGAAUUCAGAUGAAGCUCUGUUAGUAUAAAUCAUUACUGGUUACCAUAUACUCACACAUACUUAGGGGAUAAAGAUCAGAAAUUACUUAAAUGUACUUUGUCUUCUUCAAUCUUUCCGUAGCAGCACAUGGGUCAAAAUCUCCUGAAAGUUGAGCAGGGGAGCUGUAGAAGAAUUCCUCCUUUUCUUGCAGAUGAAAUCUUAUGAUAUAGCAGGGGUUACCUGGCCAAGAAGGUAAGUCUGUCAUCCAGCAGUGCUUGCAGAGGGACUAAAAUGAAUUAGGAUGUUCAGAGUUGUAUGUUAGGUGCUGCAGAAAGGAAGAAAAGAUCUCAUCCAUAAAGGGGUCUUUGACCCUGGGGAAUGGCAGUUGGCGAUUACGCUGCUUCUCAGUUCCAUCCUGUGUUGCCCCAGGUUUACUUCAUGGUCACCCAAACUUUCUUUGCCAUGUCUUUUGUAAGACUCCUACUUAUUACUAUGCAUCAUCAUCUUUUGGUAAAUAUAAAUUCUGGCUAGGAGAACUAAGACAGACAGGGGAGCUGUCUGCACACUGUGAUUAGGCAUGCAUCAGUUCAGAGCUCCAUGCUGCUAGCUCCUGUAUUCUGCUGAGCUCCCAGGGAGGAAAUAGGAAAAGGGAGGAGAACUCACCUGUCCAAUUACAACCUACUCUGCAGUACAAAGUACUGCAAAUUCCACACAGUGGAUCUCUGUGAUUGAAGGAGCACUUGUAAAAUCUGAGACAUCCUAGUUUUUGAUUUGGUAUCCAAAACACAUCUGAACUUUUAAUUAAAUAUUGUUCUUUUUCCUUCUUGUUUCCAAAUGAAUAGUUACACCAGCAAACUUAUUAGCUGAAAAGUUGUUUCCUACAUUUGCACUUUGAAGUGCAUCGGACAGUGGUGUGUUUGGAUGUGGGUCUUGUUGAGUUUGGUUAGUGAGUUAUUAUUGGUUGGGAUUGCAGUGGUCCUGCCAAUGGAAGAGAAGUAGGUGUGCCAAGUACUGUCAUGUUCACCUCCGCCUUUCACAGAGGCAUAUUUAGCCCUCAGUUGGUAAGUGAACUUUUUGACAAGGGUUUAACAGGUCGUAGAGUCUGUGUAAAAGAGAAAAGUCCAAAAGUGACGCAGAAGGAAUCCAGCUUCUUAUUUAUGUCUGGCAUGGGAAGCUUCUGGAUUUGAUAGUGGGUGCACCGAAAUUUGCAGAGGUAUUCUGCAUGAUCUCAAAUGUGUCUCUGAACUAUAGCUUCCUGAAAUUUCAUUAUUCUUGUAGGAACACAGAGGAGAACAAAGAAAAUUCAAGGAACUAAAUUCCCUCUCCACCUCAACCACCAGCAUUGAUACUCCAUCACUUAUGUACUGCAUCAAGCUGUCCUCAGAGGUGAGGAAGGUGCUGUCAAGACUAGAAGCAUGUGUCCCUCUCUCCAUUGCAAGAUGGGACAUAGAGAGGAGAAAAGUGGCAGACAGAAAUCAAUUUUCAUUGAAUCCUAAUCGGUAUAACUAUAAUGUUACAUUCAUGAAUAAGACAAAGGCUGGGACAAAAUAAAUGAGACACUUCACUCAAGGCUAAUCUCAACUGGAAACCAGAAGGCUAGAAAUCUUACUGAUGUGAUGUCCAGGGAUACAGAGCAUAUGAAGGAUGCAGAGAGUGGGUCAAAUGGAAGGAAUGUAGCAAAACAUGUAAACUUGAGUAAGUAUUUGAUCUCUUUGAGCCUAUGUUUUUCAAUAUUUGGAUUCCAACAGCCAGCUCAGUGCUGACAGAGUCAGCAAGUUCUUGUUGAGUGGGAUUGUUUUGUUGAUUGUCCUCAAAUAUUAUUAAAUAAUCAUGCGCUGACCAUAAUAAAGAAGACUUCAUCAUUGCUGAGGAUGAAUUUUACACCCCAAUCUUUAACUCUACGCUCUGCUAUCUCUUCCAUCUAAAAAUAUAAAAACUAAUUGUUCAAGUACCAAAGAGAGGAAAAAAACAGCACAUCUCUCAUUGCAUGGCUCUUCCCGGCCAAGACACUCUAGUUCUCUUGAUGACUAUUACGAAGGUAUAUGAAGAGGCAAGUGCCUUGUGUGUUAUAUACAGUUUUUAUGUGGGAGUUGAUCUUGCCGUCUCACUAAAGUUGGAAAGUCCUUUGGGACUGAGAUUGUGUUUUAUACUUUCUCUGUUUCCCAUGCCUGGGAUACAACUGAGCUCAUGGAGGAAGCCAAGCUAAUGUUCUGGCCUUCAGUUCCCUGCAUGGAUCAAAACUGGUUUGGGAGGUUGUAAAGCUUUUUGGG
rnacentral:lncRNA from 1 species